GAUGAAGAACGUAGCGAAAUGCGAUAAGUAAUGCGAACUGCAGAAUUCAUUGAGUCAUCGAAUCUUUGAACGCACAUUGCGCCCUGUGGUAUUCCGCAGGGCAUGCCUGUUCGAGCGUCAUUUCAACCCUCAAGCUCUGCUUGGUGUUGGGCCCUGCCCGCUGCGGCCGGCCCUAAAGACAGUGGCGGUGCCGCCUGGUCCUGAGCGUAGUACAUCUCUCGCUCCAGUGCCCGGUGGUAGCCUGCCAGAACCCCAACUCUCGUGGUUGACCUCGGAUCAGGUAGGGAUACCCGCUGAACUUAAGCAUAUCAAUAAGCGGAGGA
rnacentral:misc_RNA from 1 species